rnacentral:lncRNA from 1 species
GUUUGAACAGGCUCACAAGAGUCAAUAUUAUCUGUUCAUCAUGAAUAUUUGUCCCUUAGAAUUAGGCAAAAGCUACAAAUCAGGGCUUGAUUUAUUGUUUUAUUGAUUGUCUAAACUUAAGAAAGUGAUGGAAAAAUGUUAAUAACACAAAUUAAACUUAAAAGUAUAUCUUGCUUUGGGAGAGAGAGACAAUUGUUAAACAUUUACUAGCACACCCCUACGUGGAAGUGUGAGUUUUUAUUCCAAAGAAAAGAAUAGCUAUUUGAAAGAGGAUAGAUUUGACAAAUUUGAGUUAUUAGAUGUUUCUUCUCCUGUGAAUACUCCAAAGGGUUUCUUUGCCUUUUUUGUUUACAGAAAACUAAAGGAACUCUUCAACCUCUUUCAUCAGAAGCCUUCUGGGAUAUAUUUCUCUCUUCAGCAGACCUCUACACUUUUUUUCCAUGUUAAGAUUUGAGACCCACAAUGGUCAGGGAACUGAAAGUUUCCAUCCCACAUAAGCUGAAGGUCUCCCUGGAUGUUGGCCUUUCUCCAGGAUCUCCGACUGGGAGGUGUCCAUGAAACUAAUCCAAGAGGAGAAAUAUAUUCCACAUCUGUGGUUUGGGCUAAUCAAGAGCUCUCAGUCAGAGAACUGAAAGUUUCCAUCCCACAUAGGCUGAAGGUCUCCCUGGAUGUUGGCUUUUCUCCAGAAUCUCUGACUGGGAGCUGCCUAUGA